UGGUGGUGGAGCUCCUGUAAAUGAAAUCCUGACUAAGAUGCACGUUGGCUGCUCAGCACUUUUGAAAAUCGUGCCACCUAUAGAAGGUGCCUAAAUAUGGACAAAGGGGCCUAGCUUUAGGGCACCAUUUUUUUUAAAAGUUUGGCCUUAGUCUUAAAAGGGAAGGCUCAUCUUGUGCCACACUGAGAGCACCUGCCAGUGGUGAACUGAGUUUUCUUUGUGCAGAGGAGCAAUGGCUUUUUAAUGAAAAAGGAAAAGAACAGUGCAGAAUGUCUGGGAGAGAAAAGCCAGGUUUGUUGACCAGAAGCAGCUGUUUUCAUUGUUGUGAGAUGGCCAGGAAGAGAGACAGGAAUAUUAUUGGCACCCUUUCUGCAACAAAGAGGUUUUAAAAGAUAUUGUUUUCUGCUUUUUAAAAAAUAGAUACCACCUGAUGCCUAUAAAGAAUAUGAGACAAAAGCAGAAGAAGAGGGCAGUAGAAGAGUGUCAUCAGAAAAACAGACCAGUCUUUCCACCCACCAUAAGAAUUUCUACAAGGUGGCACCUGUUAGAGUCAACGCUUCACAAUCCGAGAAGACGGGAGAAAACAAGAGUAAAAGUCCAAUUAUGACAACAGAUCCUGGCAUAUCAAUACCUAUAGACAUUCAACCAUAUUCAUUCUGAAUACAAAUGGGCAAAAUCGUAGUAGCAGUCUGAGGUUUAAUAGAAUUUAAUAAACAGCUGUUGAACUUUUUCA
rnacentral:lncRNA from 1 species